rnacentral:rRNA from 1 species
GGUCUUAGCUUGCUAAGGCUGAUGGCGACCGGCGCACGGGUGAGUAACACGUAUCCAACCUGCCGUCUACUCUUGACCAGCCUUCUGAAAGGAAGAUUAAUCCAGGAUGGGAUCAUGAGUUCACAUGUCCGCAUGAUUAAAGGUAUUUUCCGGUAGACGAUGGGGAUGCGUUCCAUUAGAUAGUAGGCGGGGUAACGGCCCACCUAGUCAACGAUGGAUAGGGGUUCUGAGAGGAAGGUCCCCCACAUUGGAACUGAGACACGGUCCAAACUCCUACGGGAGGCAGCAGUGAGGAAUAUUGGUCAAUGGGCGAUGGCCUGAACCAGCCAAGUAGCGUGAAGGAUGACUGCCCUAUGGGUUGUAAACUUCUUUUAUAAAGGAAUAAAGUCGGGUAUGCAUACCCGUUUGCAUGUACUUUAUGAAUAAGGAUCGGCUAACUCCGUGCCAGCAGCCGCGGUAAUACGGAGGAUCCGAGCGUUAUCCGGAUUUAUUGGGUUUAAAGGGAGCGUAGAUGGAUGUUUAAGUCAGUUGUGAAAGUUUGCGGCUCAACCGUAAAAUUGCAGUUGAUACUGGAUGUCUUGAGUGCAGUUGAGGCAGGCGGAAUUCGUGGUGUAGCGGUGAAAUGCUUAGAUAUCACGAAGAACUCCGAUUGCGAAGGCAGCCUGCUAAGCUGCAGCUGACAUUGAGG